rnacentral:ncRNA from 2 species
CAAUUUUGUCUGUCCACCGGUGCCCGAGAGGGCCGUGACGCUGACUUAAAUCGGCGUCACGAGGGAAGUGGGGUGCAAAUCCCCCGCGGACCCGCCGCUGUAAGCGAGGACGAAGGGCCGAUAGACCACUGAUCCCCGAGGAUCGGGAAGGCGGCCCGGAGGAUGAUUCGUGAGCCAGAAGACCUGCCGGCCGGACCCCCCACAG